rnacentral:rRNA from 1 species
UACGUAGGGGGCGAGCGUUAUCCGGAAUUACUGGGUGUAAAGGGAGCGUAGACGGCGAAGUAAGCCUGAAGUGGAAGCCCGCGGCCCAACCGCGGAACUGCUUUGGGAACUGCUUAGCUGGAGUAUGGGAGGGGUAAGCGGAAUUCCUGGUGUAGCGGUGAAAUGCGUAGAUAUCAGGAGGAACACCGGUGGCGAAGGCGGCCUGCUGGACUGCAACUGACGUUGAGGCCCGAAAGCGUGGGGAGCAAACAGG